rnacentral:rRNA from 1 species
CCUACGGGAGGCAGCAGUGGGGAAUAUUGGACAAUGGGGGGAACCCUGAUCCAGCCAUGCCGCGUGUGUGAAGAAGGCCCUCGGGUUGUAAAGCACUUUCAGUGAGGAAGAACGCCUGGUGGUUAAUACCCAUCAGGAAAGACAUCACUCACAGAAGAAGCACCGGCUAACUCCGUGCCAGCAGCCGCGGUAAUACGGAGGGUGCGAGCGUUAAUCGGAAUUACUGGGCGUAAAGCGCGCGUAGGUGGCUUGAUAAGCCGGUUGUGAAAGCCCCGGGCUCAACCUGGGAACGGCAUCCGGAACUGUCAAGCUAGAGUGCAGGAGAGGAAGGUAGAAUUCCCGGUAUAGCGGUGAAAUGCGUAGAGAUCGGGAGGAAUACCAGUGGCGAAGGCGGCCUUCUGGACUGACACUGACACUGAGGUGCGAAAGCGUGGGUAGCAAACAGGAUUAGAUACCCCAGUAGUC